UGUGUCUCUCGAAAGAUACUGUGUAACAUUAGCCAUGGAGAACUGCAAAUGUGUUACUACUGCUCUCAAUAACAUUUCUGCCCUGAAUCUAUCAGGCGCUAUCAACAAAGGUCAGUGGGGAAAAGUUGUGAUGGACUACUUUCUGGAGGACGAUCGUGCCAUGCUAACUCUAUCUGACUCUGAAAAUGAAUCAGACGAUGAGGAAAUCCCUGAUUUAGGUAAAAACGUUACAUGUCUUAACAAAAGAGUCCAAGUUAAAGCAUGUUGUAAACUUGCUAACGUUAGCGGAGGUUAGAUGGCUGGCUUGCUAACGUUACUCUAUGGAUUGGGAUUUUUGUUCAUUUUUUUAGCUAGCUAAUAUUACAUGUCUAAACAAAAGACUCCAAGGUAAAGCUUGCUGGUUACACCUGAAGCAUGAGGACUUGCUGCGAGUGGUUAACUUCAUCAACAACUAUGCAGAGGGUAAUGCAAUUGUAUUACCAGGAUGCCACCCAGGACACAAACACUUUGGUGGAAAGCUGCUGCCAUCCCAUGUGACAGAAGCAGUGGUGUGGCGUCUCUACAAGGAAUCGAUGACAACACUUGAGGUAUGUGUAGUCGGGCUGUCUUCCUUCAGGAAUCUGUGGAGAAAAUUGCUGCCCCACAUCUCAAGCACUAAGCCGAGGGCCGACCUGUGCUGGCAGUGCCAGAGGAACAACUAUCAGAUCUGCCAGAAGCUGUUAAGUCAGCCAAGCUGAAGAAGCAAGAGCAGCAUCUCCUGCUUGUUCAGAGUGAGCGGUCUGUCUACCAGAAGGUGGUUGCUGACUGCAAGACCAGCUGUCAAGACCUGCAGUUGUCUCUGUGGGCCCCUACUGAACCAGGAAGCAAAGACAUCAGGAUGAACAUAGCUUCUGCGUGUAAAUCAGCUAGAAAGAUGUGUCGGCAUCGAGUAAUUGUCUCUGGCCCCCUCCCAGUUAGGGGCAGUGAUGAGCUCUACAGCAGAGUCUCACAACUCAAUCGCUGGUUGAAAACUGUUUUCUGCCCCUCCCAAAAUAUAGAAUUUGUAGAUAAUUGGCCCUCUUUCUGGGACUCACCCACAAACAGGACCAAGCCUGACCUGUUGAGGAGUGACGGACUCCAUCCUAGCUGGAGGGGUGCUCUCAUCUUAUCUACCAACAUAGACAGGGCUCUAACUCCUCUAGCUCCACAAUGAAAUAGGGUGCAGGCCAGCCAGCAGGCUGUUAGCCAGCCUGCCAGCAUAGUGGAGUCUGCCACUAGCACAGUCCGUGUAGUCAGCUCAGCUAUCACCAUUGAGACCGUGUCUGUGCCUCGACCUAGGUUGGGCAAAACUAAACAUGGCGGUGUUCGCCUUAGCAAUCUCACUAGGAUAAAGACCACCUCCAUUCCUGUCAUUAUUGAAAGAUACCUCACAUCUCAAAAUAGGGCUACUUAAUGUUAGAUCCCUUACUUCAAAGGCAAUUAUAGUCACUGAACUAAUCACUGAUCAUAAUCUUGAUGUGAUUGGCCUGACUGAAACAUGGCUUAAGCCUGAUGAAUUUACUGUGUUAAAUGAGGCCUCACCUCCUGGCUACACUAGUGACCAUAUCCCCCGUGCAUCCCGCAAAGGCGGAGGUGUUGCUAACAUUUACGAUAGCAAAUUUCAAUUUACAACAAAAAAAAAUGAAGUUUUCGUCUUUUGAGCUUCUAGUCAUGAAAUCUAUGCAGCCUACUCAAUCACUUUUUAUAGCUACUGUUUACAGGCCUCCUGGGCCAUAUACAGCGUUCCUCACUGAGUUCCCUGAAUUCCUAUUGGACCUUGUAGUCAUAGCAGAUAAUAUUCGAAUCUUUGGUGACUUUAAUAUUCACAUGGAAAAGUCCACAGACCCACUCCAAAAGGCUUUCGGAGCCAUCAUCGACUCAGUGGGUUUUGUCCAACAUGUCUCUGGACCCACUCACUGUCACAGUCAUACGCUGGACCUAGUUUUGUCCUAUGGAAUAAAUGUUGUGGAUCUUAAUGUUUUUCCUCAUAAUCCUGGACUAUCGGACCACUAUUUUAUUACGUUUGCAAUUGCAACAAAUAAUCUGCUCCGACCCCAACCAAGGAACAUCAAAAGUCGUGCUAUAAAUUCACAGACAACACAAAGAUUCCUUGAUGUCCUUCCAGAUUCCCUCUGUCUACCCAAGGACGCCAGAGGACAAAAAUCAGUUAACCACCUAACUGAGGAACUCAAUUUAACCUUGCGCAAUACCCUAGAUGCAGUUGCACCCCUAAAAACUAAAAACAUUUCUCAUAAGAAACUAGCUCCCUGGUACACAGAAAAUACCCGAGCUCUGAAGCAAGCUUCCAGAAAAUUGGAACGGAAAUGGCGCCACACCAAACUGGAAGUCUUCCGACUAGCUUGGAAAGACAGUACCGUGCAGUACCGAAGAGCCCUUACUGCUGCUCGAUCAUCCUAUUUUUCUAACUUAAUUGAGGAAAAUAAGAACAAUCCGAAAUUCCUUUUUGAUACUGUCGCAAAGCUAACUAAAAAGCAGCAUUCCCCAAGAGAGGAUGACUUUCACUUUAGCAGUGAUAAAUUCAUGAACUUCUUUGAGGAAAAGAUUAUGAUUAUUAGAAAGCAAAUUACGGACUCCUCUUUAAAUCUGCGUAUUCCUUUAAAGCUCAGUUGUCCUGAGUCUGCACAACUCUGCCAGGACCUAGGAUCAAGAGAGACGCUCAAGUGUUUUAGUACUAUAUCUCUUGACACAAUGAUGAAAAUAAUCAUGGCCUCUAAACCUUCAAGCUGCAUACUGGACCCUAUUCCAACUAAACUACUGAAAGAGCUGCUUCCUGUGCUUGGCCCUCCUAUGUUGAACAUAAUAAACGGCUCUCUAUCCACCGGAUGUGUACCAAACUCACUAAAAGUGGCAGUAAUAAAGCCUCUCUUGAAAAAGCCAAACCUUGACCCAGAAAAUAUAAAAAACUAUCGGCCUAUAUCGAAUCUUCCAUUCCUCUCAAAUAUUUUAGAAAAGGCUGUUGCGCAGCAACUCACUGCCUUCCUGAAGACAAACCAUGUAUACGAAAUGCUUCAGUCUGGUUUUAGACCCCAUCAUAGCACUGAGACGGCACUUGUGAAGGUGGUAAAUUACAUUUUAAUGGCAUCGGACCGAGGCUCUGCAUCUGUCCUCGUGCUCCUAGACCUUAGUGCUGCUUUUGAUACCAUCGAUCACCACAUUCUUUUGGAGAGAUUGGAAACCCAAAUUGGUCUACAUGGACAAGUUCUGGCCUGGUUUAGAUCUUAUCUGUCGGAAAGAUAUCAGUUUGUCUCUGUGAAUGGUUUGUCCUCUGACAAAUCAACUGUAAAUUCUGGUGUUCCUCAAGGUUCCGUUUUAGGACCACUAUUGUUUUCACUAUAUAUUUUACCUCUCGGUGAUGUCAUUCGGAAACAUAAUGUUAACUUUCACUGCUAUGCGGAUGACACACAGCUGUACAUUUCAAUGAAACAUGGUGAAGCCCCAAAAUUGCCCUUGCUAGAAGCAUGUGUUUCAGACAUAAGGAAGUGGAUGGCUGCAAACUUUCUACUUUUAAACUCGGACAAAAUAGAGAUGCUUGUUCUAGGUCCCAAGAAACAAAGAGAUCUUCUGUUGAAUCUGACAAUUAAUCUUAAUGGUUGUACAGUCGUCUCAAAUAAAACUGUGAAGGACCUCUGCGUUACUCUGGACCCUGAUCUCUCUUUUGAAGAACAUAUCAAGACCAUUUCAAGGACAGCUUUUUUCCAUCUACGUAACAUUGCAAAAAUCAGAAACUUUCUGUCCAAAAAUGAUGCAGAAAAAUUAAUCCAUGCUUUUGUCACUUCUAGGUUAGACUACUGCAAUGCUCUACUUUCCGGCUACCCGGAUAAAGCACUAAAUAAACUUCAGUUAGUGCUAAAUACGGCUGCUAGAAUCCUGACUAGAACCAAAAAAUUUGAUCAUAUUACUCCAGUGCUAGCCUCUCUACACUGGCUUCCUGUCAAAGCAAGGGCUGAUUUCAAGGUUUUACUGCUAACCUACAAAGCAUUACAUGGGCUUGCUCCUACCUAUCUCUCUGAUUUGGUCCUGCCGUACAUACCUACACGUAUGCUACGGUCACAAGACGCAGGCCUAAAAAUACAGUGGGUGGUCCGCCCAGUUCUAACUAGGGUAUUUAGACACUGUUUUCCUACGGGUAAUGUAGGCCCAUGGGCAACUUGUCUGGUUAUCCCCUUUUCCCACCAACAAACAGCCAUACACCAUAACAAUACAAUGAUCACAGACAAUGUGACAUGUAGGUGCAUAAACAAAAGAGAGAUCUCCAGAAAGAACUGAUUGGGAUACUUUUAAACCAAGGGAAAGGGGAUGUGAUAGUGUAAGGGAAAAGGAGCAGGUGUCUCUUCUGAUUAGCGACUGAUUGGCGACCGAUUAGGGAAUGAUGAUUGCCACCUGUGAGUAGGGGAGAAGGAGAGUAAAGAAAUACACACAGGAUACCUGUAUCUGUAACACCCCCAUUAACAUCAACGAGGCUGAAGUGGAGUGGGUCGAGAGUUUCAAGUUCCUUGGUGUCCACAUCACCAACUGACUAUCAUGGUCCAAACACACCAAGAUCGAUGUGAAGAGGGCACGACAACACCUUUUCCACUCAGGAAACUGAAAAGAAUUGUGAUGGAUCCCCAGAUACUUCAAAAGUUCUACAGCUGCACCAUCGAGAGCAUCAUGACCGGUUGCAUUACCGCCUGGUAUGGCAACUGCUCAGCAUCUGACCGGAAGGCGCAGAGGAUAGUGCGUACGGCCCAGUACAUCACUGGGGCCAAGCUUCCUGACAUCCAGGACCUAUAUACUCGGUCAAAAAAUUGACUCAAAAAAUUGUCAAAGACUCAUGGACUGUUCAAUCUGCUACCGCAUGGCAAGCGGUACCGGAGCGCCAAGUCUAGUACCAAAAGGCUCCUUAACAGGUUCAACCCCCCCACUGCUGCUACUCGCUGUUUAUUAUCUAUGCACAGUCACUUUACAAAUGACCUUGAUUAACCUGUACCCCCGCACAUUGACUCGGUACUGGUACCCCCUGUAUAUAGCCUCGUUAUUGUUAUGUACAUUUCUUGUGUUACGUAUUGAUUGACUACGUGUUUUUACUUUAGUUUAUUUAGUAAAUAUUUGAUUAACUCUAUUUCUUGAACUGCAUUGUUGGUUAAGAGCUUGUAUGUAAGCAUUUCACAGUAAGGUUGUAUUCGGUGCAUGUGGGGUGACAGGUAGUAUAGUGGUUAGAGCGUUGGGCCAGUAACUGUAAAGGUUGCCGGAUCGAAUCCCCGAGCUGACAAUGUAAAGAUCUGUUGUUCUGCCUCCUGAACAAGGCAGUUAACCCACUGUUCCUAGGGCGUCAUUGUAAAUAAGAUUUUGUUCGUAACUGACUCGCCUUACAUUUGAUUUGAUUUCAAAUAGCCUAAUUACGCCAGCAAAAUUGGUAAGUGAAAUUAAUACCAAUUUUGCUGGCGUAAUUAGACUAUUUGAAAUCUGAUGUCAAAUCCAAUUUAAUUUGUCACAUUUAUUUUUUGUUUUUUAAAUGUUUUCAAGUACUGGUGACAAAUAAUUCAUUCCGAUUACUGCAUAGUCCAUGCUAGGUAAAGCUCCGCCUUAUCUCAGUUCACUGGUCACGAUGGCAACACCCAUCCAUAGCACGCGCUCCAGCAGGUGUAUCUCACUGAUCAUCCCUAAAGCCAACACCUCAUUUGGCCGCCUUUCGUUCCAGUUCUCUGCUGCCUGUGACUGGAACGAAUUGCAAAAAUCGCUGAAGUUGGAGACUUUUAUCUCCCUCACCAACUUCAAACAUCUGCUAUCUGAGCAGCUAACCGAUCGCUGCAGCUGUACAUAGUCUAUCGGUAAAUAGCCCACCCAUUUUUACCUACCUCAUCCCCAUACUGUUUUUAUUUAUUUACAUUUCUGCUCUUUUGCACACCAAUAUCUCUACCUGUACAUGACCAUCUGAUCAUUUAUCACUCCAGUGUUAAUCUGCAAAAUUGUAAUUAAUCGCCCACCUCCUCAUGCCUUUUGCACACAAUGUAUAUAGACUCCCUUUUUUUCUACUGUGUUAUUGAUUUGUUAAUUGUUUACUCCAUGUGUAACUCUGUGUUGUCUGUUCACACUGCUAUGCUUUAUCUUGGCCAGGUCGCAGUUGCAAAUGAGAACUUGUUCUCAACUAGCCUACCUGGUUAAAUAAAGGUGGGAAAAAAAAGAUUGUAAUGGACAGCUAUGAUGUGCGUAAAAUACUUAUUUGAAGGUUGUACUGAUUAUAAUAAGUUAAUGUCGAGCUAUUUUCCAGCUAUGUGUUGCGCCAUGUUUGUUGAUAAUAAACAACGCAUUCUGGGUGUCACGUAAA